GCAGCUGCUAUAUAAUAGUCUCUGAGCGACAUUCCUUCCCUUUUUCCUGCGGAGAAUCGGAGAGACUGGUUCAAGUUGAGGGAACUAUGGAAAUAAACUUCAUGGUGAUAUCCUGGAAGUUGUGCAGAAUAAUUAAGCUCUUCAUGAAAACAUCAACAGUUCUAGAAGACUAUAUGAUGUACAAUUGUGGAUGUUCCUGA
rnacentral:lncRNA from 1 species